UCUGGGCUGCCGUAGAGACGAGCCAAGCGCGCGUGCGCAGAAGCCUAGCGGCCGGGCGUCGGGUCAGCAGCCGAGAGGACUGCGGUAGCGACCGGGACCCUAGCCAUGAAGAGCCGCUUCAGCACCGUUGAUCUCCGCGCGGUGCUCGCGGAGCUGAAUGCCAGCUUGCUAGGGAUGAGAGUAAACAAUGUUUAUGAUGUGGAUAACAAGACAUAUCUUAUUCGGCUUCAAAAACCUGAUUUUAAAGCUACAUUGUUACUUGAAUCUGGUAUACGUAUUCACACAACAGAAUUUGAGUGGCCUAAGAACAUGAUGCCAUCUAGUUUUGCCAUGAAGUGUCGAAAACAUUUGAAGAGUCGGAGAUUAGUCAGUGCAAAACAGCUUGGUGUGGAUAGAAUUGUGGAUUUCCAAUUUGGAAGUGAUGAAGCUGCUUAUCAUUUAAUCAUUGAGCUCUAUGAUAGGGGGAACAUUGUUCUUACAGAUUAUGAGUACCUAAUUUUAAAUAUUCUAAGGUUUCGAACUGAUGAAGCAGAUGAUGUUAAGUUUGCUGUUCGUGAACACUAUCCCAUUGAUCAUGCCAGAGCUGCUGAACCUUUGCUGACUUUAGAAAGAUUGACUGAAGUCCUAGCUAGUGUUCCUAAGGGUGAACUGCUGAAGAGAGUUCUUAAUCCAUUACUUCCCUAUGGACCAGCUCUUAUUGAGCACUGUCUUAUAGAAAAUGGAUUCUCUGGCAAUGUCAAAGUGGGUGAAAAACUUGAAAGCAAAGAUAUUGAAAAAAUCCUGGUUUGUGUGCAGAAGGCAGAAGACUAUAUGAGAAAAACAUCCAACUUCAAUGGAAAGGGCUAUAUAAUUCAGAAAAGAGAGGUAAAACCAAGCCUGAAUGCAGAUAAACCAGCUGAAGAAAUACUCACGUAUGAGGAAUUUCAUCCUUUCUUGUUUUCUCAACAUUUACAAUGUCCAUAUAUAGAAUUUGAAUCAUUUGACAAGGCCGUGGAUGAAUUUUAUUCCAAGAUAGAAGGUCAGAAAAUUGAUUUAAAAGCUUUACAACAGGAAAAACAAGCCCUGAAGAAAUUAGAUAACGUUCGAAAGGACCAUGAAAACAGACUAGAAGCUCUCCAGCAGGCUCAGGAACUGGACAAACUGAAAGGAGAGCUCAUAGAGAUGAACCUACAGAUAGUCGACCGAGCCAUCCAGGUCGUCCGAAGUGCAUUAGCCAACCAGAUAGACUGGACAGAAAUUGGAGUGAUUGUGAAAGAAGCCCAGGCCCAGGGAGACCCUGUGGCCACUGCAAUCAAAGAACUAAAGCUGCAAACAAACCACGUUACCAUGCUGCUACGAAAUCCAUACUUGUUAUCAGAGGAGGAAGAUGAUGAUGGUGAUGCCAGUGUUGGGAACAGCGAUGCUGAACCACCAAAAGGGAAAAAGAAAAAGCAAAAGAACAAGCAGCUGCAGAAGCCUCAGAAAAACAAGCCGCUGCUUGUCGAUGUGGAUCUCAGCCUGUCAGCCUAUGCCAAUGCCAAAAAAUAUUAUGAUCAUAAGAGGUAUGCUGCUAAAAAAACACAGAGGACCGUUGAAGCUGCUGAGAAGGCAUUUAAAUCAGCAGAAAAGAAAACAAAGCAAACCUUAAAAGAAGUACAAACAGUUACUUCGAUCCAGAAGGCAAGAAAAGUGUAUUGGUUUGAGAAAUUUCUGUGGUUCAUUAGCUCAGAGAACUAUUUAAUUAUAGGUGGUCGAGAUCAGCAACAGAAUGAGAUCAUCGUGAAAAGAUACUUGACACCAGGAGAUAUUUAUGUGCAUGCUGAUCUUCAUGGAGCUACCAGCUGUGUGAUUAAGAAUCCAACAGGAGAACCCAUCCCUCCACGGACUUUGACUGAGGCAGGCACAAUGGCACUUUGCUACAGUGCUGCUUGGGAUGCACGAGUUAUCACUAGUGCUUGGUGGGUGUACCAUCAUCAGGUGUCUAAAACAGCACCAACAGGAGAAUAUUUGACAACAGGAAGCUUCAUGAUAAGAGGAAAAAAGAAUUUCCUUCCUCCUUCGUAUCUAAUGAUGGGGUUUAGCUUCCUUUUUAAGGUAGAUGAGUCUUGUGUUUGGAGACAUCGAGGUGAACGGAAAGUCAGAGCCCAGGAUGAAGACAUGGAAACGCUGACAAGCUGCACCAGUGACCUCAUGUCGGAAGAGAUGGAACCACUAGACGGGGGUGACAGCAGUGAAGAGGAGAGAGAGGAGCUCCAUGGAACUCCUGCAGAAGGAGAACUCGGGACUCAGCUCCAACGGGAGGACGUGGCUGCUCAGAGUGGCCGGGAUGAAGUAAGUGAGGAAUUGAUACCUGAAGAAAGCUCUGAAGAUGAAGAAGCCAACAAAGUCACGAAAGAUGAGGAGCCGGUUGGUGAGACGAAGGGUGAGGAAGAGGAGGAGGAGGAGGAGGAGGAGGACACCUUCGAUUAUCCUGACACCACCAUUGACCUGUCCCACCUGCAGUCCCAGAGGCCUCUGCAGAAACUGGCUUCCAAGGAAGAACCUUCUAAUUCAAAUGACAGUAAGUCACAGAGCCGAAGACAUUUGUCAGCCAAGGAAAGAAGAGAAAUGAAAAAGAAAAAGCUUCCAAGUGACUCAGGGGAUUUGGAAGUGAUGGACGGGAAGGACAAAGAAAAGGAAAAUGCUGUGCACACUGAAGCUUACCAGAACACCAGCAGAAAUGCUGCAGCUGGGCAGCCCAUGAAAAGAGGACAGAAGAGUAAAAUGAAAAAAAUGAAGGAAAAAUACAAAGACCAGGAUGAAGAAGAUCGUGAACUUAUUAUGAAAUUGCUAGCAUCUGCAGGUUCAAACAAAGAAGAAAAGGGGAAGAAAGGAAAGAAAGGAAAAACGAAGGAUGAACCUGUGAAGAAACAGCCACAGAGACCCACAGGUAGACCGCAGCGGGCUUUAGAUGCCGUUCAGAAGGAACCUCCAUCCCUUCAAGUUGUAACUCAUGACUUACAAGACUUAGCUGUAGAUGAUCCUCAGGAUGACAAGGCUCAAAAAUAUCCAUGCCAGAUAUGGUGACAUAUAGCUAGAAUUCCAGCACUUCAAAAGCCAAAGCAGAAUGAAGGAGCGCAAGUAUGAGGCCACCUUAAGAUAAGUAGCAAGUCAUGCAAAGGGAAAAAUUCCUAAGAGGUAUCAUUAAUCUUCUUUCAUGGGUGUGGAUUAUGGUCUAAAUGCCAGUGUGGUAAUAUUAACAAGUGGAGCUUUAGGGGCCUGGCAGUAGUGGUGCACACCUUUAAUCCCAGCACUCAGGAGGCAAAGAAAGGUGCAUCUCUGUGAGUUUGAGGCCAGCAUGGUCUUCAGAGUGAGUUCCAGGACAGCCAGGGCCACACAGAGGAACUCUGUCUCAAAAACAAACAAACAAACAAAAAAACAAAAUAAAUAAAGUCUCAUGCGGCACAGACUGGUCCUAAACUUGCUGUUGCUGAGAAAACUCCUCAUGCCUGGACCUUUUAGGGGCUGGGGUUACAAGUGUAUGCUACCAUACUCUACUAAGGUACCAUUUUGAGGCAAGUCUUCACAAAACCUGCUGUCCUGAUCUUGAACUUUUAGCCUGCAGAACUGUUAGGUGUAAAUUUAUUAUUUAAAUAGUUGUGCACUCUGAAGUCUCUUGUUACAGCAGCCUAAACAGACUGAGACUAGUUUGUCUCCAAAUAGGUAUUGUCCACAUAACUUAAAUACACAAAAUUAAACUUACCUCAAUAUUGUUGGCAAACGUUUUUUUGAAGUUCUUUUUGUAAGAUUAUUUUCUGUACAAAUAUUGAACUUAGUUCUUACUUCAGGUUGUCUCUACAACUUAACACGACUUCAGCAUAUACUUUAAAUAAAAGAUUUUGUCACACUGAUUAAAAAAACCUUAUUUUUCUCUUUCAAUGGCAAUGCUUUCUAAAGUAUUAAAUACGUACACACUGAUUCACUUUAGAGUCUUAGGGGACCUAAGUUGUAUUCUACAAUUUCCUAUUUUAUGAGUUACACAAUAGCCUUAUUAUAUCAAUUUCUUUCUGCUUUUGGCUUAUUGGUACAAAAUUUCAUAUCUGACUUUAAUCUUUAUGUUUGGAACUAGGAAGAGCAUGAUCUGGAUCAGCAAGGAAAUGAGGAAAAUCUGUUUGAUUCUUUGACAGGGCAGCCACAUCCUGAAGACAUACUAAUGUUUGCUAUUCCAAUAUGUGCCCCUUAUACCACCAUGA